GCCGCGGUAGCUCAGCUGGGAGAGCGUUAGACUGAAGCUAAGCAAGGAGACUUGGUUGGUAGCAAUCUACAGGUCACCUGUUCAAUCCAGGUUCGUGGCA
rfam:Rhizoctonia solani AG-1 IA unplaced genomic scaffold scaffold34, whole genome shotgun sequence.